CAACAUGAAUGCCCUUGCUUGGCUGUUCUUUUUGAUGGUACCCUGCAUCAUCCAAGCUUCCAGGCCUCCCUUCGUGGUCUCCCGGCAGCCCAGGAUCACCAAAAUGAUACCCCAGGAUAGCAACCACCUACACCAAGUCAUGUGGGUAUCACCCACCUUCAGGUUCUGAUGCAGCCUCGAUGUUGCCAAGAGAAGUAAUGACAAUGAAAGCUUCAGAUUCCAACGCAACUGCGACGACAUCCUUCGUUACGGACGUUCUAUUGACCUCCCAACUCCUUGCCAAGACUGUGAAGAAGACGACAAGAAUCUUUAUGCUUACUCCAGGGCCAUCAUUUACCCAGCAGCUUACUCUACCAUCUCAGAAGACCAAGGCGAGGACAGCAAGGAGGGCGGGAGUUUCAUGAUGGAAUCCCAGCCUUCAGAAAAGAUCUCUUCUUCGCCAGCCAUCGUUAUAAAAGAUGUACCUCGUUCGAAGGGGGCUGGA